GUGGAAUAUUUAGUGGACAAACAAGCCAGUGUCUCUGGAGCGUUUGAGAGCUUUGAUGAGCAAGCUGAAGCUGGAGCAGUUAUGAUCUGCCCAAGAUCACAAGGCUAGUUAAAUGUGCGCCACUUCCUGGGAAUUGGCUUCUCCAGAAUCUGAAUUUCCAGCCCCAAGUUGGCACUUCUCUGACCAUUUGCAACGUGUGCAUUAUCAAUGUUUGAAUUACACUGGAGAACUCUGGAGGUUAAAACUGAUUCAUGCAAAUGGAUAUCUCAGGCCAGAGAGAAAGCAACUCUCAUACUUGGAAUGGUGGCAUUUAUCCUCAAAUGUAUUGCUUUAAAUACACCUGCCUGACUCUGACCAGAGAGCAAAGUGAACUUCACUGUUAAGGGGACAAAUUGACAUUACGUGUCUUCUGAUUGACACACUGAGAACACAGCGCCACUCCUGCGAUCUCCCUGGCCAAGUCAUAAGGAAGCAUCACAGGAACCCAAAUUGAGGGGAUUCUACAAAAUUAUUGGCAUCCAGUCUUCAAAAACAUUGAAGUCAUGAAAGACAAGAAAAGUUUGCAGAAUCAUUCCAGAUUGAAGAAGACUGAAGAGACAGCAAAAGCAAAUGUACACACGAUCCUAGAUUGGAUUAAAAAACGGGAGAAACAAAUCACUUCUAUACAUAUUGGAACAAUAGCUGAAUUGGGAUGGGUGGAUUAGAUGGUGAUACUGUAUCAAUGUCAACUUUCUGCUUUUGAUAGGUGAAUUUUGAUUAAGUAGGAGAAUGUCUUUGUCUUUUAGGAAAUUCACUCUGACAUUUCUUGUGGUACUGGGGGUAUCAUGUCUCCAACUUUCAACUGUUUCAGGAAAAUAGAUUGCUGAUAGAUAAAUAAUGAUAAUGCAAAAGUGGCAAAAUGUCAGCAACCGGGGAACCUGAGCAAAAGGUACAAGGCAGUUCUUUGUAUUA